GAAGAAGAGGCACGUGAUGAUCCCGUUGAUGAUCUUGGUCAGACCAUUGCUGAUGCACGGAGACGCUGCGAAACUGAAAAGGAGAGGGAGAAUUUGGAUCGCAUGUUAGAGGAUCACAGAAAGGCGCUGUACCCCGGAUGCGAUGAUGGUCUGAAAAAGCUGGGCUGCACACUGGAUUUGCUGAAAUGGAAGGCAGAGGCAGGUGUAGCUGACUCGGCAUUUGAAAACUUGCUGAAAAUGUUGAAGAAUAUGUUUCCAAAGGAUAACGAGUUGCCCGCCAGUACGUAUGAAGCAAAGAAGGUUGUCUGCCCUCUAGGUUUAGAGGUUCUGAAGAUACAUGCAUGCAUCAACGACUGCAUCCUCUACCGCGGUGAAUACGAGAAUUUGAAUGAAUGCCCGGUAUGCACUGCAUUGCGUUAUAAGAUCAGAGGCGAUGACCCUGGUGACGAUGUUGAGGGCCAGAAACCCAGGAAGAGGGUUCCCGCCAAGGUGAUGUGGUAUGCUCCUAUAAUACCACGGUUGAAACGUCUGUUCAGGAACAAAGAGCAUGCCAAGUUGUUGCGAUGGCACAAAGAGGACCGUAAGUCGGACGGGGAGUUGAGACACACCGCAGAUGGAAUGCAAUGGAGAAAGAUCGACAGAUGGUUCAAAGAUUUUGCAGCUGACGCAAGGAACAUAAGAUUUGCUCUAAGUAUAGAUGGCAUGAAUCCUUUUGGCGAGCAGAGCUCCAGCCAUAGCACCUGGCCCGUGACUCUAUGCAUCUACAACCUUCCUCCUUGGUUGUGCAUGAAGCGGAAGUUCAUUAUGAUGCCAGUGCUCAUCCAAGGUCCGAAGCAACCCGGCAACGACAUCGAUGUGUACCUAAGGCCAUUAGUUGAUGAACUUUUACAGCUGUGGGGUGGUGUCCGUGUGUGGGAUGAGCACAAACAAGAGGAAUUUGACCUACGAGCGUUGCUUUUCGUAACCAUCAACGAUUGGCCUGCUCUUAGUAACCUUUCGGGACUGUCAAAUAAGGGAUACAAUGCAUGCACGCACUGCUUACAUGAGACUGAAAGUGUACAUUUGCCAAAUUGUAAGAAGAACGUGUACCUUGGGCAUCGUCGAUUUCUUCCGAAAAUUCAUCCAGUAAGAAAGAAAGGCAAGCAUUACAACGGCAAGGCAGAUCACCGGCCGAAGCCUGCGGAACGCACUGGUGCUGAGGUAUUUGAUAUGGUCAAGGAUUUGAAAGUCAUCUUUGGAAAGGGUCCUGGCGGACAAUCAGUUCCGAAGGGAGCUGACGGGUACGCAGCCAUGUGGAAGAAGAAAUCUAUAUUCUGGGAGCUAGAAUAUUGGAAAGUCCUAGAUGUCCGCUCUGCAAUCGACGUGAUGCACGUUACGAAGAAUAUUUGCGUGAACCUCCUAAGCUUCUUGGGCGUGUAUGGGAAGACAAAUGAUACAAAGGAAGCACGGCAGGACCAGCAACGUUUGAAAGACCCUGAUGACCGGCAUCCGGAAUGGUUUCAAGGUCGUGCCAGCUACGCUCUGACCAAAGAAGAGAAGGUCAUCUUUUUUGAAUGCCUGAGCAGUAUGAAGGUCCCGUCUGGAUUCUCGUCCAAUAUAAAGGGAAUAAUAAACAUGGCGGAGAAAAAGUUCCAAAACCUGAAGUCUCACGACUGCCACGUGAUUAUGACGCAAUUGCUUCCGAUUGCUUUGAGGGGGCUCCUGCCGGAAAAUGUUCGAGUAGCCAUUGUGAAGCUAUGUGCAUUCCUCAAUGCAAUCUCUCAGAAGGUAAUCAAUCCAGAAGUUCUACCACAGUUACAGAACGAUGUGAUCCAAUGCCUUGUCAGUUUCGAGUUGGUGUUCCCGCCAUCCUUCUUCAAUAUUAUGACGCACCUCCUGGUUCACCUAGUCGAAGAGAUUUUCGUUCUCGGUCCUGUAUUUCUACACAAUAUGUUCCCCUUCGAGAGGUUCAUGGGAGUAUUAAAGAAAUAUGUU
rnacentral:rRNA from 1 species